rnacentral:rRNA from 1 species
AACGAACGCUGGCGGCAGGCCUAACACAUGCAAGUCGAGCGAAGCCUUCGGGCUUAGCGGCGGAUGGGUGAGUAACGCGUGGGAACGUGCCCUUUGGUACGGAAUAGCCCCGGGAAACUGGGAGUAAUACCGUAUGUGGUCGAGAGACGAAAGAUUUAUCGCUAAAGGAUCGGCCCGCGUUGGAUUAGGUAGUUGGUGGGGUAAUGGCCUACCAAGCCGACGAUCCAUAGCUGGUUUGAGAGGAUGAUCAGCCACACUGGGACUGAGACACGGCUUAGACUCCUAUGGGAGGCAGCAGUGGGGAAUCUUAGACAAUGGGGGAAACCCUGAUCUAGCCAUGCCGCGUGAUCGAUGAAGGCCUUAGGGUUGUAAAGAUCUUUCAGUGGGGAAGAUAAUGACUGUACCCACAGAAGAAGCCCCGGCUAACUCCGUGCCAGCCGCCGCAGUAACAC